UGCUUUACACACAUUACCAAAAUAACCCUCUCUUUGAAUUUAUUUUAUUCAGAAUUUGAGAACAAAUUACCAUACGAUUCUCCUCCACCUGCGUGUUCUACGAGCUUCCGAUGACUACUGUUGUUUGAAGAAGGUCCACCGGAACUGCACACUGACUUACACGCGACGACAAGAUGAAUUGUUCUGCCAAAAAGGACAAGUUUUUACAUUGUAUAAGUAAUAUUCUAAUGGAUCUUUAGAGAGACAAAAGGGAUCACCAAUGCAUCAAAUGGUAGCACCAAGCUUAAGAACCCUCUUCAUGAGUAGAAUAGUUCUCAUUCGAAUAAUCUGGGAUAAACACUCGUAAGUCAUCGAACCGGAACAGUAGCUGCUGCUGUGAGAAGUCACAUGAUGCUGAAAUCAUCAAGAUAUUAUUGUAUAUGGUAUGGAAGAGGCAGGUAUAAUUCCAAAGGCUGGAUGCAAAUUGUAGGUACAAGAGUUCAUGUAAACUAGUAUUCUGAAAUGCCACACCUUGUUACAUAGUCAUAUGCAAGACAUGCUUCUUCAUGUUGUAAAAAUUGCAUUGAAAAGUUUCACUUAUUUUGUUGGUA